GAUGAACGCUGGCGGCGUGCUUAACACAUGCAAGUCGAACGAACCUUCGGGUUAGUGGCGGACGGGUGAGUAACGCGUGAGAAUCUGCCCUCAGGAGGGGGACAACAGCUGGAAACGGCUGCUAAUACCCCAUAUGCCGCGAGGUGAAAUGAAUUUCGCCUGAGGAUGAGCUCGCGUCUGAUUAGCUAGUUGGUGUAGGUAAUGGCUCACCAAGGCAUCGAUCAGUAGCUGGUCUGAGAGGAUGAUCAGCCACACUGGGACUGAGACACGGCCCAGACUCCUACGGGAGGCAGCAGUGGGGAAUUUUCCGCAAUGGGCGAAAGCCUGACGGAGCAACGCCGCGUGAGGGAUGAAGGCCUCUGGGCUGUAAACCUCUUUUAUCAAGGAAGAAGAUCUGACGGUACUUGAUGAAUAAGCCACGGCUAAUUCCGUGCCAGCAGA
rnacentral:rRNA from 1 species